rnacentral:rRNA from 1 species
UGCGAGUCAUAUGUUCUUCGUGAACAUGGCGUACUGCUCAGUAACACGUGGAUAACCUGCCCUUGGGUCCGGCAUAACCCCGGGAAACUGGAGAUAAUUCCGGAUAACGCACAUAUGCUGGAAUGCUUUAUGCGUAAAAUGGAUUCGUCUGCCCAAGGAUGGGUCUGCGGCCUAUCAGGUAGUAGUGGGUGUAAUGUACCUACUAGCCAACAACGGGUACGGGUUGUGAGAGCAAGAGCCCGGAGAUGGAUUCUGAGACAUGAAUCCAGGCCCUACGGGGCGCAGCAGGCGCGAAAACUUUACAAUGCGGGAAACCGUGAUAAGGGGACACCGAGUGCCAGCGUCAUACGCUGGCUGUCCAGGUGUGUAAAAUACACCUGUUAGCAAGGGCCGGGCAAGACCGGUGCCAGCCGCCGCGGUAACACCGGCGGCCCGAGUGGUGAUCGUGAUUAUUGGGUCUAAAGGGUCCGUAGCCGGUUUGGUCAGUCCUCCGGGAAAUCUG